rnacentral:rRNA from 1 species
GACGAACGCUGGCGGCGUGCCUAACACAUGCAAGUCGAACGGAAAGGCCAUGCUUUUGUGGGGUGCUCGAGUGGCGAACGGGUGAGUAACACGUGUGUAUCCUGCACUUGACUUUGUGAUAACUUCAGGAAACAGGGGCUCAUACAGGAUAGGAGAUCCUGCUGCAUGUUGGUGGUUGGAAAGUUACGGCGGUUGGGGAUGGAAUAGAGGCUUAUCCGCUUGUUGGUGUGGUAGGGGCUUACGAAGGCUUUGACGGGUAGCCGGCCUGAGAGGGUGACCGGCCACAUUGGUACUGAGGUACGGCCCAGACUCCAACGGUAGGCAGCAGUCGAGAAUAUUGCACAAUGGGCGGAAGCCUGAUGCAGCAACGCCGCGUGCGGGAUGACGGCCUUCGGGGUGUAAACCGCUUUCGCCUGUGACGAAGCGUUAGUGACGGUAAUGGAUAAAGAAGCACCGGCUAACUACGUG